rnacentral:rRNA from 1 species
AUUUUAUUGAGAGUUUGAUCUUGGCUCAGGACGAACGCUGGCGGCGUGCCUAAUACAUGCAAGUCGAGCGCAGGAAACUAAGUAGAUCCCUUCGGGGUGAUACUUUGUGGAAUGAGCGGCGGACGGGUGAGUAACACGUGGGCAACCUACCUAUAAGACUGGGAUAACUCAUGGAAACAGGAGCUAAUACCGGAUAACCGGUGCGUUCGCAUGAACGCACUUUAAAAGGCGGCAUUUGCUGUCACUUAU